rnacentral:rRNA from 1 species
UGGGGAAUAUUGCACAAUGGGCGCAAGCCUGAUGCAGCCAUGCCGCGUGUAUGAAGAAGGCCUUCGGGUUGUAAAGUACUUUCAGCGGGGAGGAAGGUGUUGAGGUUAAUAACCUCAGCAAUUGACGUUACCCGCAGAAGAAGCACCGGCUAACUCCGUGCCAGCAGCCGCGGUAAUACGGAGGGUGCAAGCGUUAAUCGGAAUUACUGGGCGUAAAGCGCACGCAGGCGGUCUGUCAAGUCGGAUGUGAAAUCCCCGGGCUCAACCUGGGAACUGCAUUCGAAACUGGCAGGCUAGAGUCUUGUAGAGGGGGGUAGAAUUCCAGGUGUAGCGGUGAAAUGCGUAGAGAUCUGGAGGAAUACCGGUGGCGAAGGCGACCACCUGGACUAAUACUGACACUGAGGUGCGAAAGCGUGGGGAGCAAACA